AGCAAGAAGUGGCACGUGGACCCCGUGCGGAGGAGCUCGCACGUGGUCCGCCCGACUCUUGGCCAAUCCCCGUGAGUGGGUAUGCGCCAAACUCAUCAAGGACAUCAUCGUCAUCAGCAGCUUCAGCAGCGAAGCCACGGUGUCCGCCAGACGAGUGCGCCGCUUGGGGAGAAGAGCUCCUGCCGGCGCUCCUGCUGCGGCCGUGUGACCAAGGUUCCACUACCCGGGCCUGAUGCAGAGGCGGGACCAAGGACAAGCCCUGCUGAGCGGCUUCUGCCAGUCCCCAGUGGCCGAGCGCCGUGUCUCGGUCGAGGCCUACCGAGGUACUGUCCGCCUGGGUCUACCCUGGGUCGCAGUCCUCGUGAGUUGUGGCCGGUCAUCGCAGUGGUGUCCUCAACGUAGACAGGCUCUGCGUGCGGUAUAGCCCAGCCGUGUGUAGGCGACGGCUCCAGCCGCAGCAACUGUGCCAGCUCUGCCUCGGCGCGCCUCGACGGCCGUACCGCACAAUGAGCAAACAAGCUGUCACCACCAACUAAAAGCGCUAGCAGCAUCGGUCGCCCCUUUGGUUUUCUGUAGUCCCGGUUUCGUGCAGUCAAAUACCACGUGCCUUGACCCUUUCCUGGAGAACACACCAAGGCACAAGUCAGCAUACCUGGGCCAGUACUUCGGCCAAGUCAUCUUACCUGGCCCACCGGAGGCACUGCUGCGCCUGCGUCUAGCAUACACCAGGAGUACAUAAGCAACCACGACGACAGCGGGUGCUCAUUCUGGCAGCGGUUGCGACAGCAAGCACACGCAAUAACCAAGCUACUCUGCAUCUGCAGGUGACCUGGAGGUGACACCGGUCAUCCACGGACAGGACAACUCCGAGGAUGAAGCUGACCAAGAGGGACGGGAGGCGGUCACGAAGGCCGUGAAAUGGAACAGCUCUCUUUCGAGCUCAUGAUUUCCAUCUCUAUGCGCAGAUGCCGAGCUUCGGCGGAAGGAGUGCAACCACCUAGAGGCACUGAAUUUCAUCACGAUGGCCGGACUACGUAGUCUUGCCGAAGAACGAGUCAUGAAAACUCAACACUUCCCUGGGAAAAGGGAACUGUCGAGGCGAACAUCAUGACAUCCACGCAAGCAGCUCUGAAGGGAACGUCGGAUCGAACCACAUCCUUGCUGGUUUAGGCGGCGAAUAAAAUCUUUAAAAUGUUGAAAUGUAUUUCUGUCUG